rnacentral:rRNA from 1 species
ACCGGAUUAUAUACCCUGGUACUCCAUUCCGUAAACGAUGAGUGCUAAGUGUUAGAGGGUUUCCGCCCUUUAAUGCUGCAGCUAACGCAUUAAGCACUCCGCCUGGGGAGUACGGUCGCAAGACUGAAACUCAAAGGAAUUGACGGGGGCCCGCACAAGCGGUGGAGCAUGUGGUUUAAUUCGAAGCAACGCGAAGAACCUUACCAGGUCUUGACAUCCUCUGACAACUCUAGAGAUAGAGCGUUCCCCUUCGGGGGACAGAGUGACAGGUGGUGCAUGGUUGUCGUCAGCUCGUGUCGUGAGAUGUUGGGUUAAGUCCCGCAACGAGCGCAACCCUUGAUCUUAGUUGCCAGCAUUUAGUUGGGCACUCUAAGGUGACUGCCGGUGACAAACCGGAGGAAGGUGGGGAUGACGUCAAAUCAUCAUGCCCCUUAUGACCUGCGCUACACACGUGCUACAAUGGAUGGUACAAAGGGCUGCAAGACCGCGAGGUCAAGCCAAUCCCAUAAAACCAUUCUCAAUUCGGAUUGUAGGCUGCAACUCGCCUAAAUGAAGCUGGAAUCGCUAGUAAUCGCCGGAUCAGCAUGCCGCCGGUGAAUA